GACGAACGCUGGCGGCGUGCUUAACACAUGCAAGUCGAGCGGUAAGGCCCUUUCGGGGGUACACGAGCGGCGAACGGGUGAGUAACACGUGGGUGACCUGCCCUCAGCUCUGGGAUAAGCCUGGGAAACCGGGUCUAAUACUGGAUAUGACUCCAUGACGCAUGUUGUGGGGUGAAAGCCUUGUGCGGCUGAGGAUGGGCCCGCGGCCUAUCAGCUUGUGGUGGGGNAUGGCCUACCAAGGCGACGACGGUAGCCGGCCUGAGAGGGCGACCGGCCACACUGGGACUGAGACACGGCCCAGACUCCUACGGGAGGCAGCAGCGGGGAAUCUUGCGCAAUGGGCGAAAGCCUGACGCAGCGACGCCGCGUGAGGGAUGACGGCCU
rnacentral:rRNA from 1 species